rnacentral:rRNA from 1 species
UACGGGGGGGGUAAGCGUUGUUCGGAAUUACUGGGCGUAAAGGGCUCGUAGGCGGCCAACUAAGUCAGACGUGAAAUCCCUCAGCUUAACUGGGGAACUGCGUCUGAUACUGGAUGGCUUGGAUUUGGGAGAGGAAUGCGGAAUUCCAGGUGUAGCGGUGAAAUGCGUAGAUAUCUGGAGGAACACCGGUGCGAAGGCGGCAUUCUGGACCAAUAUUGACGCUGAGGAGCGAAAGCCAGGGGAGCAAACGGG